rnacentral:misc_RNA from 1 species
GAUGAAGAACGUAGCGAAAUGCGAUAAGUAGUGUGAAUUGCAGAAUUCAGUGAAUCAUCGAAUCUUUGAACGCACAUUGCGCCCUUUGGUAUUCCUUAGGGCAUGCCUGUUCGAGCGUCAUUUAAACCUUCAAGCUAAGCUUGGUGUUGGGUGACUGUCCGCUUCACGGCGGACUCGCCUCAAAAUUAUUGGCGGCCGGUACAUUGGCUUCGAGCGCAGCAGAAACGCGAACUCGGGCCCGUCGUAUUGGCUCCCAGAAGUUAUCUUCACAAUUUUGACCUCGGAUCAGGUAGGGAUACCCGCUGAACUUAAGCAUAUCAAUAAGCGGAGGA